AGCUCCAAUAGCGUAUAUUAAAAUUGCUGCAGUUAAAGCGUCCGUAGUCGAACUUAGUCCGUCUGAGGUCCUGAUGGUUUCAACUGUCAGUUCUUUAAGCACGGAAUUUACGGAAAUCUGCUAGACAGGUUUCUGUUCUGUUACUUUGAGUAAAUUGGAGUGUUCCUAGCAAGCUUGUGCAUGUACAUUUCAGCAUGGGAUAAUAUGAAUUCAAUUCAAAUUCAUCAUUUAGGCGGGAUGAAUUAGAUUAUGAUCAAAAGGACUUCGCGGGGAUAUUUGUACUUGCGGGUGAGAGGUGAAAUUCUUAGACCCCGCAAAGACAGUCGACGGCGAAAGCAUUUAUCCAGCGAUUGUUCA
rnacentral:rRNA from 1 species